rnacentral:pre_miRNA from 1 species
CUUUCUUCUCAACCGACAUCUGGAAGCCAUUCAGUGCUGCAUACACUUCCUGCAGGCUGCCCCUCUGUUCUCUCGCCCUUCUCAUCUCACGUGAUUGAUCACCUGACAAGCUACCUGGAUUUCCUAGUGCCCCAGAGUUGCCCUCAAUCAACACACAACACGUUCCCAUGUGGAAUCUUCACCAAGUGUUCAUUUCUUCCAUUACAGGAAAUAGUAUUCUCUCCCUGUCCCCAAAACUUUGCAGUAAAGACCCCUGACAAUCUAGUUCAAAUGUCAGUCAUGACACUGCUAGCUUUCUUUUUACAAGACUGUGUGAGUCCCCCUGCAAAAAAGUCAAACUGAAUUUUAUCACAUGAUAUCUACUAUAGUCCUUCAAGCAAUUGUCACUGCAUCUUUUCAGUUAUGGUUACCAAAGGUUGUGUUUAAAAUUAGCUCGCAGAAUUUACUGCUGGGUGUGGGGAUGGCCUACAAAUGACCCAAAUGACCAAGAUUCAGUGUUGUUCAAAUUGUGUAUGUUCUGGAAAGGAGUCACUUUGUCUACUUGAACUUUAGAAGUUAUUUACUAAUGUUGCAGUGUGAUACAAUUGAUCGUAAUCUAGGCUGGGCACCGUGGCUCACGCCUGUAAUCCCAGCACUUUGCGAGGCCGACAUGGGAGGAUUGCCUGAGCUCAAGAGUUUGAGAUCACC